rnacentral:rRNA from 1 species
GACGAACGCUGGCGGCGUGCUUAACACAUGCAAGUCGAACGGAAAGGCCCUGCUUUUGUGGGGUGCUCGAGUGGCGAACGGGUGAGUAACACGUGAGUAACCUGCCCUUGACUUUGGGAUAACUUCAGGAAACUGGGGCUAAUACCGGAUAGGAGCUCCUGCUGCAUGGUGGGGGUUGGAAAGUUUCGGCGGUUGGGGAUGGACUCGAGGCCUAUCAGCUUGUUGGUGGGGUAGUGGCUUACCAAGGCUUUGACGGGUAGCCGGCCUGAGAGGGUGACCGGCCACAUUGGGACUGAGAUACGGCCCAGACUCCUACGGGAGGCAGCAGUGGGGAAUAUUGCACGAUGGGCGGAAGCCUGAUGCAGCAACGCCGCGUGCGGGAUGACGGCCUUCGGGUUGUAAACCGCUUUCGCCUGUGACGAAGCGUGAGUGACGGUAAUGGGUAAAGAAGCACCGGCUAACUACGUG